rnacentral:lncRNA from 1 species
UUUUUUAAAAUCUUUUUAUAUAUGACUUCUAAUUAUAAUUAAGUUUAAGAUUAAUUAAAUUUAGGAUUUAAUUUUCCUAACUACAUCUUGGGUUAGAAAUUAUAUUAGGAAAUAUGAUUCAUCCUAAUCUUUAUUUUUCUCAUUUUUUACUUUUAAUUCAUGAUGAAUGACUUUAAUAAAUUAUUGCUUUGCUUGAACAAAAU